rnacentral:rRNA from 1 species
GGGGUUGACGGUACCCUACUAGAAAGGAGCCGCUAACUUCGUGCCAGGAGCGUCGGUAAUACGGGGGCUCCAAGCGUUAUCCGGUGUUAUUGGGCGUAAAGAGUCGUGUAGGUGGUUGGGUAAGUUAUCUUUCAAAUAUCUUUGCUUAACAAAGAGGAGGGGGAUAAUACUGCUCGACUAGAAUUUUCUCAAGGGAGAUCGGAACUGAGGGAGGAGUAGUGAAAUGCGUUGAUACCCUCGGGAACACCAGUGGCGUAGGCGGAUCUCUGGGAGAAGAUUGACACUGAGACACGAAAGCUAGGGGAGCGAAGCAGAUUAGAGACCUGCGUAGUCCUAGCCGUAAACGCAUGCUUGCUAGCUGCAUGAAUCUACCUUCGGGUGGUAUCGUGUGGCGAAGGUAACCCGUUAAGCAAGCCGCCUGGAAAGUACGGCCGCAAGGCUGAAAUUCAAAGGAAUUGGCGGGGAGGCACACAACCAGUGGAACAUGUGGUUUAAUUCGAGACUAACCGAAGAACCUCACCAGGGUUUGACAUGUAGCUGCACGUCUUAAGAAAUUAAGACUCUCUUGAAGGUGCUACACAGGUGCUGCAUGGCUGUCGUCAGCUCGUUCCGUGAGGAGUGCCCUUAAGUGGGACAACGAGCGCAACCCCUAUUACAUGUUAGAAAUGUCAUGUAAGACUGCCUUGCCAUUUGGCGGGGAGGAAGGAGGGGCAGACGUCAAGUCCGCAUGGUCCUUAUGCCCUGGGCUACACACAUGUUACAAUGAGUACGGCAAUGAGUCUGUCGCGAGCACGUAAGUGUAAGCUAAUCUCUUAAAUGUACUCUCAGUGGGGAUUGAGGUCUGCAACUCGACCUCAUGAACACGGAAUUGGUAGUAAUCGCGGGUCAGCUAUACCGCGGUGAUACGUUCUUGCCUCUUGCACACACCGCCCGUCAAACCAGCAAAGUCGAUUGUAUCCGGACCUCUCUUUU